rnacentral:snRNA from 14 species
AUACUUACCUGGCGCGGGGGAUACCGUGAUCAAGAAGGCGGUGCCUCCAGGACGAGGCCUGUACAUUGCACUCCGUAUGGGCUGACUCCUGCGACUACCCCAAUCGGGGUGGCUCGAGCGCAUAAUUUUUGGUAGUGGGGACAAGCGUUCGCGCUGUCCCUUU